rnacentral:rRNA from 1 species
GACGAACGCUGGCGGCGUGCCUAAUACACGCAAGUUGAGCGCUGAAGGUUGGUACUUGUACCAACUGGAUGAGCAGCGAACGGGUGAGUAACGCGUGGGGAAUCUGCCUUUGAGCGGGGGACAACAUUUGGAAACGAAUGCUAAUACCGCAUAAAAACUUUAAACACAAGUUUUAAGUUUGAAAGAUGCAAUUGCAUCACUCAAAGAUGAUCCCGCGUUGUAUUAGCUAGUUGGUGAGGUAAAGGCUCACCAAGGCGAUGAUACAUAGCCGACCUGAGAGGGUGAUCAGCCACAUUGGGACUGAGACACGGCCCAAACUCCUACGGGAGGCAGCAGUAGGGAAUCUUCGGCAAUGGACGAAAGUCUGACCGAGCAACGCCGCGUGAGUGAAGAAGGGUUUCGGAUCGUAAAACUCUGUUGGUAGAGAAGAACGUUGGUGAGAGUGGAAAGCUCAUCAAGUGACGGUAACUACCCAGAAAGGGACGGCUAACUACGUG